rnacentral:lncRNA from 1 species
GGCCGUGAGGGGAGCGGGUGAUCUCUGAGGGAACCGCACCGGGACAGCGACCGGCACCGGGCUCCUCUGGCCGAUCGUGGAUCGCUGCCCUCACAGCGAGGAGCCCUCCCGGUGUCCCCACAGCACGCCCCGGUCAGUCCUUCCCGCGGCGCCCCGCAGCCCUGUCCCGUCCCCUGCCCGCCGGGAAUUGCGGCUGAGGGGCGCUGGGGCGGACACGGCACAGGGCAGGUCUCUCGUGGGGCUCCUUCACGGAACAAGUGCGAGGAGUGGCAGAAAUAGGUCCGGGAUUCAGCCUCUGGAGGAUAAACUUGGCUCUGAGGCUCCUUCUGAGGGAGGUUGUUGUCGCAUGUGUAGGAGAUGUACAAACAGAUUGCUGCAGUUACCCAAUUAAGAUUUCUGGCAGCCUUCGAUAGCACAAAGGGAUGUCAAGUGUGGCUGAUGUACGUGUCAGGUGAAUGGUUACUUAAUUCCUUCGAAAUGGAAACUGAGGAUCCCUGUGGAUCAGGAACAGCCAGUCCUGGGCCCAGGCUUCAUCUCCAAAUGGCAAAUUUAUGUCCUCGAGGCUGAACAUCAGUUGUCAGCAUGCCUCAAAGUAGCAAUAAAUAUGUAGUGCAUAAAUCUGAAACAAGGACAGCAGCUUCAAGAAUACCAAACAAUCCCAACCAGACUAUAAAUUAAAGUCAAACUUGCUCAUGGAAUCUCUCAGUCUGCAAGUUUGUUCUCGCAGAUCCUUCAAAAGCCAUUCUUAGGCCUGAAAUAGUUGCCUUUUGGAGCCUCUCUGCUAUUUCAAUUAGGUUCUUUGAUAGUCUUAGAAUCCCAUGUGAGUCCCCAGAUGAUGGAUUAAAAUAUGCAGUGAGUCAUGUCAAAUUGGUGCUAAUUGAAAUGCACAGGUUGUAAAUCACUGCAGAAUUUGACUCAGUAAGUAGCAACCAUAAAUGUAAUACUUUGCAAUUCUAAGCACUGCGACUAACUUAGAUUAGCUCCUCUUUUCCUUCUGAGAACAUAAAAUGCUUCAUAAAAUAAUUUCAUAAAAUGUGUUGGUCUUCACGGGAAGGCUGGGAAGUGACACUGAUUGGUGUCUGAGCUCUUAACUGGUUAACUGAAGUGAAAAAAGGGAUGGACGGGUGCCUUGAGGUUGGGCAUGAGAACUGUGGUAGAGCCAGGAACAUAAUACAAGUCUCCUGACUCCUGGAUUUGAACUUCAAAACCAGAUCAUGUUUCCUUUGUGCUUUCAGUCCAUAUACUGACCUUUAGGAAUCGUAUUUACCUACAAGUUCCCAGAAGAGAUCUGCUUUCCUUUGUCAUGCUUUCCUGGUAUCAGUUACUGUUUUCCCCGAUGAGUAUUUUGAGCAUGUAGAACACAGAGAGAGCAGAUGAGAAUGGUAUUUCUGAUGGAGGUGUCUGUGAGUUCCCCAAAACUUAAUCCUGGAGAAACGCUGUUCUGUAAAAACUGAUACUCAUCCUUUCUUCCUCAGUGCUGAGGGGAAGGCAGUUGUGGUGAGGGUGGAGAAGGAUCCGGGCUGUGUGCACUGGGAGCUGCUGCUCUGAGAUUUUGCUUUCUAUUGAGACUACUCCAGUCCUCUCACCUUCCCAGAAGGAAAGGAACAUUCCCCUCUUCUCAAGUCUCUGUAACGUUAAAGUAGAGGAAGGAUGAAAACUUGAGAUAAUGCCAAGAUAAGAAUUAAAAUAGAUGGUGAGAUGGAAACCUAUUAAAUCUGGUUAUUCUGACUCUGGGAAAGGAAACCUCCAUGACCAGGCAGUGUUAGAACUGGACUGGCUGAAUUUGUUGUCGUGUUUGAAAGCUCAAGUGAUUGGAGGCAGGAGCAAAAUCACACAUUGGAGCCCAGUUUUGUGGGACUUCUCAGCUUGGGGAAAGCGAGAGAGAUCCUGUGUCAUCCUUAAAAUUUUAUGCUAUCAUCAUCCUUUCUUCCACCAGUUUUAUGCUCUCCAUACAUGCAGUCCCCUGGCUGCCCCCCUGCUCCUUGGUAUUUAUAGUCCUCAGUGGUGUCUGAAUAUUCAAUAUUACUGCCUGAAAGAAAACAAUCAAGGCUUAGCUCAGUGCUUGACCUCUUUAUCACAAGAGAAUCUUCACAGACAUGAAAGAGAUUAUAAGCUCUCAGUGCAGCCUUGGGUAAAUAUUACAGGAAGCAGCUGAGAUUUGUUUAUGCUUAACUUGUCUUAAGUUAUCUCAGUUUAGGUGAUGUGCUAUCUGAGUAAAUUCUUACAGACUCGAGGGCCAGUGUUCCAGUAUAUUUGUUGUAUAAUUCUGGGGGCAUUUUCCACAGUCCCAAAUUAGUUUGCAUGGAGAGUGAUACAGAUUUUGAAGGAAGGUUUGACGUGAGAGUUGUUUAUAAGAGUUCAGCUCUACAGUUGCAUCCAGUUCUCUGGAUAGAAUUUGUCUUUUAUUUAGUUUGGGAAAGGCUUGUGGAAGCUGCUUAUUGCGAAGACAUCCUCCACAAGGUAACUUGUGGAGGACAGAGAACGGAAAGAAACAAUCCAGAGCUCUCUGGAUCUGCAGGCACAGCUUCACUGCUCCCUUUUUUCUCCUCCCUUCACAGCCACUGCUGUGCAGAUGCUGCCGAGCAAAGUGACAGAGCUCAACCAGAGAGAGCAGCAAAUCCGAGUGGGACGAAACCUGAGCAAAUGAGAAUCCUGCUCCCUGGUCAAAGAGAGAUCACCUUAUAUGGGAACACCAGGGACAAGAGCAUGAACGCGUCCUGCUGAGACUCUGAGCCUGGGAUUUACAGGUUGGACCUUGAGAGCUGUGCACGUUCCCACCUCCUGUGUGCACAGUGUCAGUGGUGGCCUCACACCUCUCCCUGCCCCCUGGACCAGAUGCACACAGUUGGCUCAGAACACACUGAGCAGCUGCAGCUUUCUGUGACUGUGCAGCAGGAGAGGCACAGCCAAGACAGUUGUCUAGCCACUUCUCACAGACUCUGACAGGAGAGAAUUAUGUUAACAGCUCAGUCAGUACCAGUGUGAAGGAAGUGGCUCACAAAAGGAUCUGGGUUAUAGCAGAAUACACUGUACCAAUGCAGGCAAGUCUUCAGGUAAUGUCAGUUCAAUAUUCAGAAUUCAGAUUUCUCCCCACUUUUACAUCCUUGGUUAAUUGGCUUAUGUUGUUGAAUUAAGCUUCUAGCUGAAACACUUGAUUUCUCAAUCUAUCACCAGACCCAGAUAUGAAACUUAAUAUAAAAUUUUGAAGGAAAUUACUUCACUCUCAGCCCAAACAAUGACAAGCACUGUUGACCCAAGCAAAGGGCUAAAUAAGGAUUGAUGAGGUGUGGCAGGACCAUGGUUUGGGUAGUUCCUUCUGCAGCUUCCUCCUAUAGAAAGCUGUAACAAUCUGAAAUGUCAAGUUGCCUAUCUUACAUUUGAGGAGGACAGGUGGAAACUGUCUCUAAGUGGCAAAAAACCCUUGAGUAAGAGUUUAUUUCUUUACAAGAAUUUAAACAGGACAAUGUGUAAAUUAUAAUGCAACUGUCAAAAACAUGUAAGGUCUGGGUUCCCUGUAGAAUCCAUAGAAAACCUUCCUAAGUAAGUGAAAGACAUACCUACAUUUUUUUUUUGUGUUGAAAGAAAGACACAUUGACAACAUACAAGAUACAUUGAACAAAAUUUAAUUGACAUGAAAUUUUAAGGUACUCCCUCUGCCUAGGCACUUAUAGAUCUCAUCUAUGUAAACCAGCUCUUUCCUUCACAGCCAUAUUGUUAACACUCAUUAUAAUACCCAGAUAAUUGACUUCUACCAAGCUGCCCUGCUGUAUGAUCCUGCAGUGAAGUCACAGCCUUCAGUUUGUGCCAUCAUGCAGCUGCCAUAGAAAUAGCUUUAGGUGUCUCAGGCUCAUCUUGAAUUCACUGGAGACAUUUGGCUCAUUAAUUCAAAUGUCAAGGAAAAAUGCAUCAACGUAAGAGAGCUUUAAUCAGGGACUGAAAUAAUAAUAAUUUUAAAAGUUUCCUAAUGUGGGGUUUUCUUCUGCAAGAAAAUGUGGAAGUUCUCUGUGGCUUCAUUUAUCAUAUUGAGGUUCAUUUCACUUCCCCCUGGGUAGAUUGGUUGUCUGUGCUUUGUGCUGCAGGCUGCUGUUUGGGGAUCUUCCUCAGACCAAAGAACAAUCUCAUCAUCCUCCCUACACAGAUCAUGAAAGCCUCAGUGUUAUCAAUCUCAUUGAGAUAACACAGACAAUGCUGGUGUGACCCAGAGUAGGAUGGAAGGGCCUCAUAGCCAUCUUUUGUUGUAAGCCCAUGACUGUACAAUAUCCAAGAUAAAAACAUUCUAUUUCUAGUCUGUAGCAGCCA